UUUUGAGUUGUCAACAGCAUUUUGACCGCAAAAUUUAUAUGUGUCAUUUAGUAUUACAGGGUUAGCUGAUAUACUUUAUAUAAUUCUCACAACUAUAUAUUUAAUAAAGUAAGUGAUUAUCUUACUUUAUUUAAAAAAGUAAGUAAUUUUCAAAGGGGCAAUUGCUUAUAUUUUUCUGAAAUGUUUCUGACUUUCUUAUUUACCAUUCUUAGAACGGUAAUAGUAUGUCCCUAGAGUUAAAUUAUAUUAGUGAAUUAGUAGGAAUAUACCCUUCCACCGUUACCAGCUUUUCUUAUUUGCCUUUAAUCUAUGGGCAAAAUUGGUAUUCUUACUUUUAUUUUAACUAUGAUAGAAAUUUAAUUCAGAUUUAAUCCGAAAUUAUUUGAUGGACACUAACAGUAAAUAUAUUUUUGAAUAACGGAGAAAUAUGUGAAGAGUAUAUUUGAAAUAAAAAAUAAUAAUAAUAAAUAAGAUAUUUCAGAAGUUUUGAGAAAUAUAUACAUAACUUUUUUUUUUUUUUUUUAAUCAGACAUAAAAUGUGCUUGAAUGA
rnacentral:lncRNA from 1 species